CCUACGGGAGGCAGCAGUAGGGAAUAUUGCUCAAUGGGGGAAACCCUGAAGCAGCAAAGCCGCGUGGAGGAUGAAGGUUUUCGGAAUGUUAACUCCUUUUGUUAGAGACGAAAAUGACGGUAUCUAACGAAUAAGCACCGGCUAAAUCCGUGCCAGCAGCCGCGGUAAUACGGAGGGUGCAAGCGUUACCCGGAAUCACUGGGCGUAAAGAUCGCGUAGGCGGGAUAGCAAGGCAGAUGUGAAAUCCUAUGGCUUAACCAUAGAACUGCAUUUGAAACUGGUAUUCUAGAGUAUGGGAGAGGUAGGUGGAAUUCUUGGUGUAGGGGUAAAAUCCGUAGAGAUCAAGAGGAAUACUCAUUGCGAAGGCGACCUGCUAGAACAUAACUGACGCUGAUGCGCGAAAGCGUGGGGAGCAAACAGGAUUAGAUACCCCAGUAGUC
rnacentral:rRNA from 1 species